rnacentral:rRNA from 1 species
UACUAGAGUAGCACUCGCAUAUCAAUAAGCGGAGGAAAAGAAACUAACAAGGAUUCCCCUAGUAACGGCGAGUGAAGCGGGAAGAGCUCAAAUUUGAAAUCUUAAAGGGUUUCCCUUUACGAAUAUUGUAGUUUAAAGAAGUGUUUUCUGUUGAGGUUUUGGUAAAAGUUCUUUGGAAUAGGACAUCAUAGAGGGUGAGAAUCCCGUAUUUGACCUUUACUUUCAACUUUGUGAUACACUUUCAAAGAGUCGGAUUGUUUGGGAAUGCAGUCCAAAAUGGGUGGUAAAUUUCAUCUAAAGCUAAAUAUUGGCGAGAGACCGAUAGCGAACAAGUACCGUGAGGGAAAGAUGAAAAGAACUUUGAAAAGAGAGUUAAACAGUACGUGAAAUUGUCAAAAGGGAAGCGUUUGACACCAGUGUUGUUUUUCUGAAAAUCAAUUAAAGAACUGUUUAUGCUAAGCUGUUUAGACUUUAUCAGCUAUCUGUUUAGUUUUAGGCUUUUCUUUAAUGCACUUUUCAGUUAACAAGUCAACAUCAAUUUCUUUUGCUGUAAAAAAGCUUGAGGAAGGUGGCUUGGGAUUCGUCUUAAGUGUCUAUAGCCUCUUGCCUAUGCAGUCGGAGAGAUUGAGGUCUGCAGCGUAGAUCCUUCGGGGCUAAAUGCAUUUGUGCUAAGUUAUAGCAUUUUAUAGACAACUUGUUGACUAUGAUUUGUCUUGUAGCUUACUCGCUUAUGUUAUUUUACCUACGCUUAGGAUGUUGAGCGCAUGUCUCUCUCU